UCAGAUGGUUGUCUUACUCCGCAGGGCAGGUCCAGUGUCUAGAGUCACAGUAGAAUGAAAUUACUGUAAAUGGCGACCAAUGUCUUCCAGUCUUCGCAUGCGUUCAAGAGAAACUGCUAUUGACAUACGACUUUGUCUAUAAGGUUAUUAUUAUUAUGUGCAAAAUUAAAAAUAUUUGCUGUUUCGCUGCCAUAAAAGCGUUUUCACAAUGAUUGGAUGGUUAAAGUUGCAAAAUUCAGCGGAAAAUAUCCCCAUAAGGUACAUAGGCCUACUAAUAAUGCAUAUACGAAUCCGGUAUGGCUAUCCAAAUCAAGUCCGCUUCUCGUACAUAUACAGUUAAACUUGAAUACAUGGAACUCAUCUAAACCUCGCAGUGGCACGAGAAACUAAUGAAUUUGGUCAGAAGAUGUCCGUUGUUAUCAGGAAGGACGCAGUAAACCUGAACCUUGAAUUUUCAUCAGGUACCUAAUCAUCGCCUGGAACUGGAAGAGUACGUUGUUUUUAUGUUUACAUGUUUCUAUCACCGGGCUAAAUCUCCGGAAAUUUAUAUGCAAUUUUCUCGCAAACAAUUUUACCUACGGCUAGACUUUAAGUUUCUUUCCUGCUUACUACUGACAAAAUCUGAUCAGUGAUAGAAGAAAUAAGUACGUUUGUCCUUCCUAAAAAUAUAUUUCGUAUUGUAGAAUGACAUUUUUAGACAAUAGAUAAAAAAUUGAGCGAAAUGUGAAAAGUUUGAUACUCCUUAGUUUCGUCUAUGGAUGUUUUGUCAGCGUUCUUUUCAUUUUUUAAUUCGAAAUUUCAAAACUUGGCUCUCAUUUUUGAAGAAAUAAACUAAAAUUACUUUUAAAAUGUUUAACUUUGCUACAGCAGAAGGUGUUUGGGAGGGAAAAAACUCGAUCUCAAAUUUAAAAAUGCCCUAGCAUUCGUAAAAAUUUCAAUUUUAAUAUUUUUUUUUUCUUUUCUGAUAACAAUUUCUUUGUUUUUUCCAAAACCUCCCAGCUUUAAUCGUUUCUGAAACGAAAUUUAUCCCUAUCACCUACUUGCGUGGGAAUCAGUUUUCAUAUGAGUAUGAUUCGAUUCAGGAUUCAAUGGACUCGCAAUUCGCGAUUCAAUUUUACUAUUUUCCAAUGAUUUCCAGCCAGCCAAUAGCUAAAAGCCAAAAGCCAAUAGCUAAUGCAAGCCAAUGGUAUUUAAGCUAAUAGCCAAAAGCCUGCAGCUUAAUGAAAAAUUGCCAGCCAAUAGCUAAUAGCUAAAAGCUAAUGAACUUGAAGUGAUUUUCGAAUUUUCAAUUUUUAAAAUUUUUUUUUUCAUAUUUUUCAUGUUUUUUCACUCACAAGUCACAACUCACGUCAUACACUUGACGCCACAAAAAUGAAAUUGUCAUUUUUAAUAAUCAUCUACGCAUCAUAACGAGUAUUUUGAGGGGUCACAUGUAUUUUUGUUUUUGUAAGCCAAAAGCCAGCCAAUUGCCAGCCAAUUGCCAGCCAAUUGCCAGCCAAUGAAAUUUUGCCAGCCAAUAGCCAGCUUUAUUUAAGCUAAUGAAAAUCAAGCUAAAAGCUGAUAGCCAAAAGCCAAUCGAUGAUUGGCUGGAAAUCCCUGCUAUUUUCGGAUUGAAACUGCCCGCAUACCUAUAUACAAUCCACCUCGAAAUUAAGUUCAAAAGUAGGACGUAAAUUUAGUUUAAUUUUUCUACCUAAAACGGAGAAGGACGGGUAUUUUCUGUUUGUAGGUACCUUUACCUAAUAAUAGCCUACUACGUGAGUGCUUUGUAUUAUCUGAAGAAUUCUAUCCUGACUAUUUGUAAUUUUCUUACUUGCUGAUUUAAAACUUUUAUCUAUGUAGCUUGGCUUGAUAAACGUGAAAUGCUCUUAUACGAUAUCUUUUUAUUAAAACGAUCGAAGAUAAAAUAUUUCAUCACGAAAUCUUUUAGAAAAUCACGAGUGUAGGGUACCU